rnacentral:rRNA from 1 species
AGGAUUAACGCUGGCGGCGUGCCUGACACAUGCAAGUCGAACGAGGCCGCAAGGCCGAGUGGCGGACGGGUGAGUAACACGUGACCAACCAACCUCGAAGUUGGGAAUAGCUCUGCGAAAGUAGGGGUAAUACCGAAUGUGGCCCAGGGCGGGCAUCCGCCUUGGUCUAAAGAUUCAUCGCUUCGAGACGGGGUCGCGGCCUAUUAGCUUGUUGGUGAGGUAACGGCUCACCAAGGCGAUGAUGGGUAGCUGGUCUGAGAGGACGACCAGCCACACUGGGACUGAGACACGGCCCAGACUCCUACGGGAGGCAGCAGUGAGGAAUCUUCCGCAAUGGGCGAAAGCCUGACGGAGCAACGCCGCGUGUGGGAUGAAGACUCUAGGGUUGUAAACCACUGUCGGAGGGGACGAUCGUGACGGUACCCUCAAGAAAGCCCCGGCUAACUACGUGCCAGCAGCCGC